rnacentral:misc_RNA from 1 species
GCUGAUUUCAUAAAGUGGGUAGCUGAAGUUCGAAGGCAAGAGGAGAAUGGUCAAAAGCUAAGUGAAGAGGAGAAAGGAAGGCUAGCUAUCAAGGAAGAGGUAUUGAAACAAGUACAGGACACUCCUCUUUAUAAGCACGUCACAAGCAUUUUACUUUCAGAAGAUUCUGUCUGUCAGUUAAAAGCAGAAACGGAAAGCAGUUUGACCAAUGUUGCUGCGAGCAUUUGUUGCCAAGGAGCAGACAUUUUUGCUGGAAGAUCUGGUUUGUCGGAUAGGUUUUGCUGUCGCCAAACAUGUGUCAGAUGCUACAGAGCUACGGGAAACAAUCCUGCUACAGUGGUGUCUGGGACAGUUGUAAAUGGGAAUGGGAAUGGGGAGCAGGGGGUCGAUGUUCUGGUCCCUACGUCUCAAGCAAAGACUAGCUGCUGUUCUUCGGGGCAAAAUGGUUGCUCACCAAUGCACCCUGGAAGCAACGAUGUGCUGACAGCACUGUUGUUGGCAUUACCUCCACAAACAUGGUCUCACAUAAAAGAUAAGAAAGUCUUGCAGGAGAUAGAGAACCUUGUCUCAGCAGAAAACCUGCCGCCUUUGUUGCAAGAAGAGAUUUUGCACCUGCGAGGGCAGUUCCUCCUGUUAAAGAGAUGCAAGGAUAACAAGGUUUGGUAAAAUCAAGAACCACAAGGCGCGUCGAGUCCUAUGGAGCUGGAAAUCUCUUUGUGGAGAUCCAUUUGGUCAAGCAGCUAUUUGGCAUAAAAUGCAUGCCAUGAAGAAUGAGACAACGUCCAGUUAAGAAACCUUGCUGUGAAGCUUUUGUGCCCUUCGAGCUAUCGGAUUUACAACGUACUUGACCAGGACUACAUUGUAUGUGCCACAUCUUCUAGCUAUGGUAGUUUUCUGUCAAGGGCUGAAGGUAAUGUUCAUAAAUUAUGUUGACACACUCAUUUCUCUUUUGAAACAGUAUAUAGCACAAGUUGCUGUUCAUUUUCCCAUUUGUCUAUGUAAUUUUAGGAUUUAUUUGCCAUGUAUGUUUGGUGUAAUCAUCAUAUCAUAUGAUAUAUUAAAAGUGGGAAGUUCAACCUUCAAAGUUCGAUUAUCA